rnacentral:tRNA from 2 species
GGCCCCAUGGUCAAGUGGUUAAGACGCUGCCCUCUCAAGGCGGAGUCAGGGGUUCAAUUCCCCUUGGGGCUACCA